rnacentral:rRNA from 1 species
CCUACGGGUGGCAGCAGUGGGGAAUAUUGGACAAUGGGCGAAAGCCUGAUCCAGCCAUGCCGCGUGUGUGAAGAAGGCCUUCGGGUUGUAAAGCACUUUCAGUGGGGAAGAAAGCCUUGGGGCUAAUACCCUCGAGGAAGGACAUCACCCACAGAAGAAGCACCGGCUAACUCCGUGCCAGCAGCCGCGGUAACACGGAGGGUGCGAGCGUUAAUCGGAAUUACUGGGCGUAAAGCGCGCGUAGGCGGUCUGAUAAGCCGGUUGUGAAAGCCCCGGGCUCAACCUGGGAACGGCAUCCGGAACUGUCAGGCUAGAGUGCAGGAGAGGAAGGUAGAAUUCCCGGUGUAGCGGUGAAAUGCGUAGAGAUCGGGAGGAAUACCAGUGGCGAAGGCGGCCUUCUGGACUGACACUGACGCUGAGGUGCGAAAGCGUGGGUAGCAAACAGGAUUAGAUACCCCUGUAGUC